GACGAACGCUGGCGGUGUGCUUAACACAUGCAAGUCGAACGGAAAGGCCCUGCUUGUGUGGGGUUCUCGAGUGGCGAACGCGGGAGUAACACGUGUGUAACCUGCCCUAGACUUUGGUAUAACUUCACGAAACGGGGGCUAAUACCGUAUAGGAUCUCCUGUUGCGUGGUGGGGGGGGGAAAGUUUCGGCGGUUGGGGAUGGACUCGCGGCUUAUCGGCUUGUUGGUUGGGGAGGCGCUUACCCAGGCUUUGACGGGUCGCCGGCACGAGAGGGUGACCGGCGACCAUGGGACUGCGGUACGCACCAGACUCCUACGGGAGGCAGUAGUGGCGAAUAUUGCACAACGGGAGGAAGCGUGAUGCAGAAACGCCGCGUGUGGGAUGCCGGCCUUUGGGUUGUAAAAAGCUUUAGCCUGUGACGCAGCGUGAGUGACGGUACUGGGUAAAGAAGCACCGGCUAACUACGUG
rnacentral:rRNA from 1 species